GCUGUUUCUAUGAGUGUUUGUCCUCAUAUUUAGGUGAAAAUCCGAGUUGAAGAGGCGUGGGUCUAUCAUAAGGACCUGGUGAUUUUCAGGAAUGGAUAUGCGGAUCAUACAUGUUACGAAUCUACAUAACCUACCGAGUAUGCCUCUUUUUCGAUUCUAUUGUCGCCAUAAAGAAAAGCCUCCUUUUUCAAUUCUUUGUGAAAUUAAAAAAUAAGUACAUAUGAGAAAGGAUGGUGUAAUAUCAAUAUAAUUUGCAUAAUUAAAUGUUAAGAUGAGAACGACUAAACAUUCAGUGUCUCCAAACUGGAUAAGUCUGCAUGCACACAUAAUAAGUUAAAUCCAUGUUCUCAUGGACUCUUAAAGUAAACACAAUUGUAUGCUAAUGCAGAUUACUUCCAAGUAUAUAGAAUAUCUAGAAUAUAUUUGUAUAAGUGAAGUCAAGGGGAUUAAGUUUGUAGUUUAGCACUUGCUAAUGCGUCGUCCUAGCCUGUGUUCCUUCCAGGUGCUUUCCUAAUCCUCUUGUCUUCUGUUGAUUCUUUUCUCUUAUUUUUGCAUUCUGUCCUUUUAUUUUUCGUUUUUUCCUUUAGAUUUUGAAUCCAUUCUCACUAAAAGUUGAAUGUGAAUAAUAUACUUUCCUUGCUAGGCAAACUUUAAUAGAAAACUAAUUGUGUUUAUAGAUGCAUAUGUGGCAUUGUAGCACCAAGCUGUUGGUGCAUGUCCGUUCAAACAUAAAAAAAAGAACCUUCUUUCUUAGCUGAGAAUACCUCGUCAUUGGUACCAUCAAUGCUAAAAUGGUCAUGAUUUUUGUCAUGUCCUGCCAGUAAGGUAAGGUAGAAUACCAUAUAGUUUAAAAUAUAAAAUUGGACAUUUGUUUUUCUUAAAACAAAAAUUUAAAGUUUUGACAUGUGUAAAUUAUUUUUGCAGGUACAUGCAUUUAUUGGGUCCAAUAAUCACCCUGGUUAUCGAUAAACGAUUAGAAACAUUGGAUUUGGGGUAUUGCAAAAAUAGUUUAAAGUUCUCACCUUUGAUACUUGAAUAAAAUUGGAAGUGACAGUCAUGAUUGUUUUUUGUGCCAAACUUCCAUUUACCAUAUUUGCUAAAAUAUAUCCCCGUAGAGUGAUCCCUACCUUCUCACCACUGAAAGAAUUUGACCAUGUAAAAGUAAUGUAAAAAGUCAUACAUAAUUCUGAAAUUGCUUACAUAAUUGAAAUAACUUACAAUAGCAAAAGGACGUGCAUCUCGCAGAUGUUUGAAGUUUGCUCUCUGCUUGUCCGUCUGUUCUUCUGUACUUCCUCAAUUGGUUUCAUCAUGGUAAGCAACCCAAUCCAUUGAUCCAUGAUUAGUAACGAAUUCAUCAAUGCCAUAUACAGGAACCGUGCAAAUUAUCUAAAUUGGUGCAGGUGAUACAUGCUGGAGAUAAUUUGAUGCACAUAUUACUUACUGGAGGUGGUGUGAUUGCUUGACGGAGCCGAUAACAGUCGAGGAGAGUCAACAGAGGAAACUGGGGCACUUGCAACUAUUGGAGGAAGGUGAUGUCCAAGUGCCGAUCGCUGGAGGAAGACGAUGACGAAGGUGGGCUCUGAAGGUGGGAUCCGACUUGUGGGGCGUGCUGAAACUGACUUGAUGCUAGCUUGUCAGCUAGUUUCAUCGCCCUGGCACCAUUGCUAACGUGAUUGCCAGAGUUCAUAAAUCACAACAUUACCUUCUCGCGGUAUCGCCUCGCCCUGAUUGCUCAAGGUAGUAGCCGCCUGCCUGGGACAACAAAUCAAUCUAAAGUUAGACUUUGUUCCCUUGGUGUUUUGGCAGCAAAAUAUCAUCAACCUCUUGGUUGUGAUGCUUUAAUUGUAAGUUACACUGCAAUUGGCUGCUUCCGCCCUGGCACCAUUUUUUUUUCCUUCUGUGUUUUCUCUUUUUUUCUUUUGGGCGUGCCUGUGCUGCUUCCGCCCCAGCACCUAUCGUGGGUUGUAUCGAUGUUGUUGCUUUGUAAUACAAAGCGGGGGGAAACCCUUUUUCGGCAAUUGUAAGUUACACUGCAUAUGUAGAGGCAACCUUCCAUUAUUAAUCUAUAAUUAUAAUA
rnacentral:lncRNA from 1 species